rnacentral:rRNA from 1 species
AGAGUUUGAUCCUGGCUCAGAAUGAACGCUGGCGGCGUGCUUAACACAUGCAAGUCGAACGAGAAAGCCGAAAGCUUGCUUUUGGCGAGUAGAGUGGCGCACGGGUGAGUAACGCGUGGGUAAUCUGCCUUCGAACCGGGGAUAACACUUCGAAAGGGGUGCUAAUACCGGAUGACAUCCAGGUGUCUUCGGGCGCCUGGAUCAAAGAUGGCCUCUCCAUGGAAGCUGUUGCUCGAAGAUGAGCCCGCGUCCCAUUAGCUUGUUGGUGGGGUAAAGGCCCACCAAGGCGACGAUGGGUAGCUGGUCUGAGAGGAUGAUCAGCCACACUGGCACUGACACACGGGCCAGACUCCUACGGGAGGCAGCAGUGAGGAAUUUUGCGCAAUGGGGGUAACCCUGACGCAGCAACGCCGCGUGAGUGAAGAAGGCCUUCGGGUCGUAAAGCUCUGUCGAGUGGGAAGAACCCGCAUCAGGUGACAAGGCUGAUGCGCUGACGGUACCACUGGAGGAAGCACCGGCUAACUCCGUGCCAGCAGCCGCGGUAAUACGGAGGGUGCAAGCGUUAUUCGGAAUUACUGGGCGUAAAGGGCGCGCAGGCGGCCUGGUAAGUCAGUAGUGAAAGCCCGGGGCUCAACCCCGGAAGUGCUGCUGAAACUGUCGGGCUUGAGUAUGGUAGAGGGAAGCGGAAUUCCUGGUGUAGCGGUGAAAUGCGUAGAUAUCAGGAGGAACACCGGUGGCGAAGGCGGCUUCCUGGACCAAUACUGACGCUGAGGCGCGAAGGCGUGGGUAGCAAACAGGAUUAGAUACCCUGGUAGUCCACGCAGUAAACGGUGAUCACUAGGUGUUGCGGGUAUUGAUACUUGCAGUGCCGGAGCUAACGCAUUAAGUGA